rnacentral:rRNA from 1 species
AUUGAACGCUGGCGGCAGGCUUAACACAUGCAAGUCGAGCGAGCGGCGGACGGGUGAGUAAUGUCUGGGAAACUGCCUGAUGGAGGGGGAUAACUACUGGAAACGGUAGCUAAUACCGCAUACCAUCAGAUGUGCCCAGAUGGGAUUAGCUAGUUGGUGGGGUAAAGGCUAACCUAGGCGACGCUCCCUAGCUGGUCUGAGAGGAGGACGAGCCACACUGGAACUGAGAAACGGUCCAGACCCCUACGGAGGGCGGCAGAGGGGAAUAUUGGACAAGGGGGGCAAGCCUGAUGCAGCAAUGCCGCGUGUGUGAAGAAGGCCUUCGGUUUGUAAAUCACUUUCAUCGAGGAGGCGUUACUCGCAGAAGAAGCACCGGCUAACUCCGUGCCAGCAGCCGCGGUAAUUC